GCAGUCGCCGCGGGAACACGGAGGGCGCGAGCGUUACCCGGAUUUACUGGGCGUAAAGGGCGUGUAGGCGGCCUGGGGCGUCCCAUGUGAAAGGCCACGGCUCAACCGUGGAGGAGCGUGGGAUACGCUCAGGCUAGAGGGUGGGAGAGGGUGGUGGAAUUCCCGGAGUAGCGGUGAAAUGCGCAGAUACCGGGAGGAACGCCGAUGGCGAAGGCAGCCACCUGGUCCACUUCUGACGCUGAGGCGCGAAAGCGUGGGGAGCAAACCGGAUUAGAUACCCGCGUAGUCCCUGUCUCUUAUAC
rnacentral:rRNA from 1 species